GGUCUCCCAGGCAUCCAGCCCCUCCUAGAGCUUGCUGGGCAGGCUGCACCUCAUCUGGGCAGGCACAGAGCUGAUGAAAUGCUGGAGCAGUGCAUGGCAAACAUACACCCCUCCCCCCCCCCCAGUGUCUUCUGAAACAUUUGGGGCUGACACAAGACCCUUUAGUGUUCGGAAUGACCUCUUUCCUGAAAACCUCUUCCCCUAUCCCUAACGCAUGCAUGGAAAAGGUUUGUCAGGCUGGUUUCCCGAGCCUCCGCCUGAACAUCACACUCACCCUUUUGGGUUUAGCCCAGUGUUGUUUAGCAGAUUUCUCCAGCUGCAGGGAAGGAUCAGAGUAUUAUCUUUUUUUUUGUUUUUCUCCUUGAGCCAGGACUGUACAAAGCAAUGGCCAAACGUAGUUGAAUUCAGCCUACCAUCCUUUGCUGAUGACUCAGCUCUAUGCCAAGUACAGGAGACACAGAGAUGGGUCAGUCCCAGCCCCCAUCCUCAGGAAGUCCAUAGUCAGGGGAACGUUGUAGGGGGAGGUAAUAGAGGGCAAUUGCCUUCAGGGCUCCUGGUGGCUGCUGGUCCCUAUUGUACCUUGAUGUGAGUUAGAAGACGGUGCCCUUUCCAGGUGAUUCAGACCCACACUAGAAUGCGUAGCUUUGUGAGUGACACACAGGUUGGAUUUUGGCACCCCUUUCCCCUUGGCCAGGUGCCCUGCUGCACAGCCAUGUGCUGCAGCCUCGAGGGACACACAGACCAAAGUGUUUCCUUCAGCUUCUUCCUGGAGAGGAAGCACCAGGUCAUGUUUCCAAGCUUCUGGUCAACUCCAGGCACCACCUCCCAGCCCCCAAACAUGGCCAAGUGAGUGCUUCUCUGCAGGGCCCCUUUCCCUUCUGGAGUCAGUCUGUCCAGGUGAGACCUUGAAGUGAAACUAGAGGUGGCGGAGCCUCACUAGGCCGCAGGCACCAGCCCACAGUACUGGCGGUUACUGUACCAAGCAUUUGGGGCCUGCGCUGGCCACGCCGUCCGUCACCGGGACUUUGUAGUGCACCCUGUGGGUGGCGUGUGGACACCAGUCUUGACAGGAAGGAAGAGCAUGGCCUGGUGAAAACCCACUGAGCAGAGGGCCAGCUGGCCCUCCUCAGCAUUCCACCCAGGGGAAGAGUUCAGUCCCCACGAAAAUAAGGACUGAGUUAUUUGGCUGCACCUCAGCGUCAAAGCUCAGCCCUGCUAGAGUGGGUUCACCUGGCUGCUGGUUUUGUGGGAGAGUUCCUGACAAGCUGGUUCCUACGUGGUGCAGUAAAAGGAAUUCUGCCCUGGAAGUCCCCAAUGCCACCUCUCAGUCCUGGCUGUCACCAAUCACCUGGGGGACUUGGGCAAGCUACUCAACCUCUGGGGCUCAGUUUCCCUAACUGUAAAAUGGGAUUAUAAUCCCUUCCCUUCCUGACGCAGGAAUUGUUAUGAGGCCCAGAUGAGACGAAAGUCAGCGGUCAGGGCUCUAAGUUGAAAAUGGCUGCAUGGGUGUGGCCCUGCCACUGCAGGGAUGGCCCAAGGUCACACAGGAAGUUUGCUGCAGGAGAAGCCCUCCCCACCAGUCUUCAUCACGUGCCCUGCUUCUCACUUAGGUAGAUGUCAACCGGAAUGAGACACAGCUAAUUUGGCUUUGAUGACCUAGCUGAGCAGGAAAUUUAGACACGAUUCAGGAAUAUCAUGUACAAAAAUAGUGGUCCCAUCAACCAGGGCACAGAGGGAAGACAUGGAUAUUGUCAGUGAGUGGUGGAGGCGGACAUCUCGGACCCUCAUAGGUCUGGAGUCACAUCUCCCAUCUGUCAGAACCCCACAGAGGCCAAGGGGCCUUAGCUCUGACCCCAGGUUAAAGAGAAUCACCAGCCCCCAGGCUCAGGGAGCUGAAAUCACCCAUCUGCAGAAAAUCUAAGGGCAAGGAGAAAUAGAAAUUGCCUGUUCCUUCCCUUGAAAGUGUAAGGCCUCUUGCAGGAUCAGCUGGAGCUACCACAGCUUCUCAGUGACAUUGGGAGGGUUUCAGGCCCAGGGAAAACCUAAGCCUUUUGCCCUGAGAGCUGAGCCACAGCGGAUGCAUUCCCCCAGUGGCGUCAGCAGUCCAGAGCGGCAGCUUCUCUCCUGCCAGUCACUGGGGACUGGUUGUUCUCCAUCCAUCCAGGAGGAAGGGUUUAGGUCCCAGUCUUACACU